UAAUUUUUGAGACAAAUGAUGAUCUUACUGGGAACAGUUACCAAUUAAUUCUUGGUCAAUCCGUAGUCGUCGUGGCCGAGUGGUUAAGGCGACAGACUCGAAUUCUGUUGGGCUCUGCCCGCACAGGUUCGAAUCCUGUCGGCGACGUUCUUUUUCCUAUUUUUGAAAUGAAUGAUGAUCUUACUCGGAACGGUUUCAAAUUAAAUCUUUAAUGCAACCGUAGUCGUCGUGGCCGAGUGGUUAAGGCGACAGACUUGAAAUCUGUUGGGCUCUGCCCGCACAGGUUCGAAUCCUGUCGGCGACGUUCUUUUUCUUAUUUUUGAAAUGAAUGAUGAUCUUACUCGGAACAGUUUCAAAUUAAACCUUUAAUGCAACCGUAGUCGUCGUGGCCGAGCGGUUAAGGCGACAGACUAGAAAUCUUUUGGGCUCUGCCCGCACAGGUUCGAAUCCUGUCGGCGACGUUCUUCUUCUAAUUUUUGAGACAAAUGAUGAUCUUACUCGGAACGGUUACAAAUUAAUUCAUGGUCAAACCGUAGUCGUCGUGGCCAAGUGGUUAAGGCGACAGACUUGAAAUCUGUUGGGCUCUGCCCGCCCAGGUUUGAAUCCCGUCGGCGACGUUCUUUUUCUAAUUUUUGAGUCAAAUGAUGAUCUUACUCGGAACGGUUACAAAUUAAUUCUUUGAUGAAACCGUAGUCGUCGUGGCCGAGUGGUUAAGGCGACAGACUUGAAAUCUUUUGGGCUGUGCCCGCACAGGUUCGAAUCCUUUCGGCGACGUUCUUCUUCUAAUUUUUGAGACAAAUGAUGAUCUUACUCGGAACGGUUACAAAUUAAUUCUUUGAUGAAACCGUAGUCGUCGUGGCCGAGUGGUUAAGGCGACAGACUCGAAAUCUGUUGGGCUAUGCCCGCCCAGGUUCGAAUCCUGUCGGCGACGUUCUUUUUCUUAUUUUUGAAAUGAAUGAUGAUCUUACUCGGAACGGUUUCAAAUUAAACCUUUAAUGCAACCGUAGUCGUCGUGGCCGAGUGGUUAAGGCGACAGACUUGAAAUCUGUUGGGCUCUGCCCGCACAGGUUCGAAUCCUGUCGGCGACGUUCUUUUUCUAAUUUU